GUACUUUUUACCUGUGGCUCUGCAACAAAGAGGCUAUUGUGCUUCAAAACAGAUGCUCCAAACAAGGAUAGAGAAACCAGGCAAAGUGGGCCAGAGGGGUGGUUGCUUACUGAAUAUUUCGGUAACAUUUUCAAAAUAAUUGGCCUAACUAUGUGCCCAAACUAAGUUGUAAUUUCAAGGGCACCAUAAUUAACAGGGAUUUAUGUUAAAGUUCUGUAAAUAUUUCUUUGUUUUCUCUUUCUUUCUUGUAAAUAGAUCACUAAGAGACGGACCCAGGGCCUGCAAUAUUGUGGGUCAAUACUUCAUGAAACAGAAGGUACUCUUGAUGCAAGGAUGGGACAUGGAUGAAGCUGGAAGCCAUCAUUCUCAGCAAAUCAACACAGGAACAGAAACCAAACACUGCAUGUUCUUGUUCAUAAGUGGGAGUUGAACAAUGAGAACACAUUGACACAGGGAGGGGAACAAUACACAUUGGGAUCUGUCUUGGGGGAGAGGAGAGCAUUAGGACAAAUACCUAAUGCAUGCCGGACUUAAAACCUAGAUGACAGGUUGAGAGGUACAGCAAACCACCAUGGCACAUGUAUACCUAUGUAAUAAUCCUGCAUAUUCUGCACAUGUAUCCUGG
rnacentral:lncRNA from 1 species